CUAGACAGCUCUGCAAGCGUUAUGAUGUCAAAAUAGGUUCGUUACUCACAAAAUAAAAAUGUACACGCAAUCGAAAGAGUGCCUAUUCACUCACAUCCCAAGGAUCCCGAAUAGCACUAACCUUACUGCUAUGCACAAGUCGGAAGUCUACGACAGCUCAAUAUAUUGGAGGUGCCGAAGAGUGUUUUUUCCCUGUUGCUUGUAAAAUAUUUUUGUAUCUUGUUUUGGAAGUACAUACCGGGGGUCACGGGAGUAAAUUAAGCUAGUUGCUCAGCGAAACCCCACAUUUGUUAAAUACCGAACGUAUUUUUACAUAACGCUUGCAGAGCUGUUUAAUGAGAGUUUGAAUAUGAGCUAACUGUUAGAGAGGAGACACUCGUCGCUGACAUCUCUAACGCACAGAUACUAGCUUGGAAAUAAAUGAACAAUCCAUCCAUUACUCCUUCCUGUGUUGACUCACUGACUUGAGGGACGGGACCAGGAAGGUCACACAGACAGAAAAUGUCAGGUGGGUGAUAACCAUGAAUGAGGAAUAUGAAACAAAAUUAUUCUGCAACUCAGCUGAGGUGAGCUGAUGAUUUAUUUCCUAUGGAAAUCUAAUGACCCUCCUCUUGGAGAGAGAUGUGGACUCAUUUCAGUUCUGCUCAAUAAUCUACCUACUCAGCUGCUAAUCAUCAGGAUUUUGAUAAACUGAUUCAGGUGUGGUAGAGCAGAGUUAGAACAAAAGCCUGUCUAGGUGGGUUCGCCCUACUCUAUCUGUUUGUACAGUAGCUUAAUUGCCACAUAAAUACAGAACCUCUGAUUUAAAAACAGGAGCUUCGUGGUGCUCUUGAACACAAGGUCAGGGACAUGUCUGGUAUGUUCAUGUGGGCAAGAAACAUGGCUUGUGAGUUUUAUCAUAGGAAAUGUGAAGUUGUAUUAGAAACAGCUUUGUUUGUUUUGAAACUGGAGUGGAAAGCUGAGGGGGUGGCGCAGCUGCGACUAAGCACAGUGGACCUGACCGGGGUGCCCAGUCUAGAGAACCUGCACAGAGGAGUGGAGUUCGCACUCAGUCACCGGGAAAAGGGCUCCAGUGUCUACGGCCACUGUAAGGCUGUCGCAGUGCUACACUAGCUGCUGCAUACAUCAUACAGGUACACUGCUAGGGUCCAGAGGAAGCAUGUCAGAUGUUGGCCUCUGUCCGACCACAUGUAAUAAUUUGUUCUACACAGCUGGAGAUGCUUCGGCGGUACCAUCAGCAAGUCUGUGGUGUGGGGUUCCAUUUAAGAUUGUUGAGAGGCUGCCAGCAUACUUUAUUGCACUCCUACAGAAACUGUAAAAUGAGCUUUGUCAAAACAAACCAUAUUCUUCUUGAAGAGUUUUUUGACCUUGAGCUUAUUCUUUAUUACAUUGUUUUGUUACUCAACUGGAUCAAGUGCAUUGUAUAAUUCAAAUGUUUUAUCACAGCUCAUCAGAACAUGAGGUAUAAUAAAAUGCAAUCCCCAUCAAAGUACUGACAGGUGGGUGAGGGGGUGGGGUGGGUGUAUUUUAAAAGCAUGUUUCUACAUAACAUUUUUUCUUCCUUAAUAGGAAAUUUGAUUACAAUUUCUAUGUUAAUUUUUUUUUUUUUGUUACAAAUUUCACUGAUUGUG